GAUGAACGCUGGCGGCGCGCCUAAUACAUGCAAGUCGAGCGAACAGAUGAGGAGCUUGCUCCUCUGACGUUAGCGGCGGACGGGUGAGUAACACGUGGAUAACCUACCUAUAAGACUGGGAUAACUUCGGGAAACCGGCGCUAAUACCGGAUAAUAUAUUGAACCGCAUGGUUCAAUAGUGAAAGACGGUUUUGCUGUCACUUAUAGAUGGAUCCGCGCCGCAUUAGCUAGUUGGUAAGGUAACGGCUUACCAAGGCAACGAUGCGUAGCCGACCUGAGAGGGUGAUAGGCCACACUGGAACUGAGACACGGUCCAGACUCCUACGGGAGGCAGCAGUAGGGAAUCUUCCGCAAUGGGCGAAAGCCUGACGGAGCAACGCCGCGUGAGUGAUGAAGGUCUUCGGAUCGUAAAACUCUGUUAUGAGGGAAGAACAAAUGUGUAAGUAACUAUGCACGUCUUGACGGUACCUAAUCAGAAAGCCACGGCUAACUACGUG
rnacentral:rRNA from 1 species